rnacentral:rRNA from 1 species
AAUAGAUACCUCGGUAGUCCACGCCGUAAACGUUGGACACUAGGUGUGGCGUCCCGAUCAACGGAUGCCGUGCCGAAGCUAACGCAUUAAGUAUCCCGCCUGGGGAGUACGGCCGCAAGGCUAAAACUCAAAGGAAUUGACGGGUCCCCGCACAAGCGGCGGAGCAUGCGGCUUAAUUCGAUGCAACCCGAAGAACCUUACCUGGGUUUGAAAUCAUGGGAAAAGCUGUAGAAAUACAGUGUCCGUAAGGGCCCAUGACAGGUGGUGCAUGGCUGUCGUCAGCUCGUGUCGUGAGAUGUUGGGUUAAGUCCCGCAACGAGCGCAACCCUUGUCCUAUGUUGCCAGCGGUUCGGCCGGGGACUCAUAGGAGACUGCCGGGGAUAACUCGGAGGAAGGUGAGGACGACGUCAAGUCAUCAUGCCCCUUAUAUCCAGGGCUGCACGCAUGCUACAAUGGUCGGUACAACGGGCAGCGACCCCGCGAGGGUGAGCGAAUCCCACAAAGCCGGCCUCAGUUCGGAUUGGAGUCUGC